UCCCGUCGCCGCGCAUGCACACCCCGCCUCCCAGGUCCCAGCAAAAUCUCCGGCGCAUGGGGACCGCCGCCGCCGGCCGCCCCACCCGACACCUCUCUGAUUCUCUCCCUCUAUAUAACCUGACCUGAUCUCAAGGUGCUGCUCGAAGCUACCCUAAACCGCCGCCGCCGCCGCCGCCGAUUGCUCGAGCUCGCUUCUUUACGGCGGUUCUGCAUCUGCGUGCUGAUAUCUUCUUGUCAUGUUCUCUCGUUCUGUGCUUCUGUGAUUUUUUCCUAUUUUCUCUCAACUGUACCAGGGAUUGGUUCGUAGCUCGGGCUGAUGAUGAUUUGGAUCCGAAAGGAUCUUAGCGGAUUUCGGUGAGGCAGAUUCGUCCGCCGCUGAUCGCCUUAUGUUGUUACACACACUGAAGCCCUUUCGACGCGUCUCUCAGAUUGGUUCUUUUCCCCUUUCGUCUCUUUGUCUAAUUUCUCACUGGAUGUUGCUGCAAUGCGAUGAUGAUUCAUAACAUGGUUUUGGCAGUGGUUACCCCUUGUGGUCACCGUGAGCCGUCAAACCUGAAAACGACUUCUCUUUCCACUGAGCAUUGCGAAUAAAAUGCAGCGUAUUAUCAUCGGGCAAUUGAAUUUAUCAUCAAAUCCAUACUGGUUCUAGCAAAAAAAAACAGAUAAUUUCACGUGAGCCUGAAGUUUCUGAAAACUCAAUGCAGCUUUCAUGGAAGUGACUUUAUGGCACCUGCCAAUUACCAGUCGCCCCAUUUUUUAGGAACGAACGCACCUUUCCUCAACACGGCCUGAAUCGCAUAGCCAAGGCCAAACAAAUUAUUGGAUAAAACCUGCAUGCAAUAUCGUCUGACAGCAGGGAGGUAAUUUUGAUUUCAGAUUUCAGAUUAGAAGUUACAACUUGACAGCAGAUUUCUACACGUUGAGCUCCAUCUCCAACUCCAGCUCUCUCCACUUUCUGUGAUGCAACAGCUUCAGCGCCACCUGUUGCUUCACCUUGCCGCCUGAAACCACAACGGCGUCGUCCCUGGCCAGAGCGUUAUCCACCGGCCGAUCUGAAUGUAGCCUGUCUAGCAGUUCCGAGUUUCUGUGGCGGGGUUGAUCAUUGUUUGAUCAAGUCGUCCUUGGCCAUUAUCAGAUUCGGGCAUCAUUGCGAGUUCCAUGUUGGCUACCUUCAUGUUUGUGCUGAUGCCUUUGUAGCAAGUGGCUACCUGG
rnacentral:lncRNA from 1 species